CGAGCCUCAUUAAAACCUCAUUAAGGAAAACCCAGUGGGAAAAAACUUAAGGAGGAAAAAGAGUGCUCGUCUAUCACAAAGAGAAAAGUCAGAAGGAACAGAUAGAAUGUGGAAAAACUUCAGGAGCUCCGGCCUAACCAUCGCCCCUAAAUAAUCCCGGCCAUUCCAUUGCUCGAAAAUCCACAAAGAAUUCAAAACAAAAAACCAGAAAAGCAAACCAUAAAUAGGCAAAAGCCGCCAAGCUUCCAGCACCUCAAUGACCAAUCUGCCAGAAGCAAAAUAAAAGGCUCGAAGCCAAUGGAAAAGAAACUCCAUCGCCGAGCACCCAGCAGAGCCCGACCACUCAAACCCCAACUGUGAGCGCACCCAACAGCUGUAAAAAAGCCCGAGCGACGCUCCAAACCCAACCACCAAG
rnacentral:lncRNA from 1 species